rnacentral:rRNA from 1 species
AGAGGUCUCAAACGUUGUUCGGAUUCAUUGGGCGUAAAGGGUGCGUAGGCGGCGCGGUAAGUCGGGUGUGAAAUCUCGGGGCUUAACUCCGAAACUGCAUUCGAUACUGCCGUGCUUGAGGACUGGAGAGGAGACUGGAAUUUACGGUGUAGCGGUGAAAUGCGUAGAUAUCGUAAGGAAGACCAGUGGCGAGGGCGGGUCUCUGGACAGUUCCUGACGCUGAGGCACGAAGGCCAGGGGAGCAAACGGGAUUAGAUACCCCGGUAGUCCUGGCAGUAAACGGUGCACGUUUGGUGUGGGAGGAUUCGACCCCUUCUGCGCCGGAGCUAACGCGUUAAACGUGCCGCCUGGGGAGUACGGUCGCAAGAUUA